GAUGAAGAACGUAGCGAAAUGCGAUAAGUAGUGUGAAUUGCAGAAUUCAGUGAAUCAUCGAAUCUUUGAACGCACAUUGCGCCCGCUAGUAUUCUGGCGGGCAUGCCUGUUCGAGCGUCAUUUCAACCAUCAAGCCCCCGGCUUGCGUUGGAGCCCUGCGGCUGCCGCAGGCUCCCAAAUCCAGUGGCGGGCUCGUCGUCGUACCGAGUGCAGUAAACAUCCUCGCUCAGGGAACGUGACGGGUUCUUGCCGUGAAACCCCCCACAUAUCAAGGUUGACCUCGGAUCAGGUAGGAAUACCCGCUGAACUUAAGCAUAUCAAUAAGCGGAGGA
rnacentral:misc_RNA from 1 species